UUGAUCUACUCCUAACACUAAAGUGUUUAUUGUCGGACAGACAAUGUUGCGGGGAGGACCCCAAUUCAUGGGUUGUGAGCCGGUGUGUGCGUGUGGGUCGACAGUGCGUGCGUGGGUGAUGGGAACCGACCGGUUGACCGUCAGUGCGCCACCACGGACGUGAUGGCACCACUGUACGGUCGGAGGAGGAAGGUGGCUACAUCCCGCCUAGCGCGGAGAGGAGGAGGCCUGUAAGCCGAGUGGCGGGGAGAGGAGGAGGGCUACUGCGCGCGACGGGAGGAGGAGGGGGGUGCGGCCGCCGGAGGGAGGUGCGCGCGACGGGAAGUGGGGGGUGCGGCACCUGGAGGAAGGUGGCGAGGCCGCCGGAGCGGCAGGGUCACGACAAACACCCUGUCCUUGUCACACACAACUACGGCUCGUAUUGUGUCUCCGUCCACGAACAGCUUUACGCCUACUCCUGGUUUAUAAAAAGAUAAACCAUAUUGCUCUUCUCUUCCUUAAUGGAAAAAACUCUCGAUGUCCAGUAUUACGAACUUAACAAUAUACUAACGUAGUCAAGUCUGGGCUUCUAUGUUAUUAAAUUCUCAAGUUGAAAGUUUUAAGACAUUCAAAUAUAUAUAGUGGAUCUAUUCAAGUUGCUUUUUGAGAAGUACAAAUCACGUACACGACAAUGUUUAGACUUAUGUAUGAGCUUCGUCUUUCACAUUGUAUCCCCUUCCUUACUUCACUCGGAACCAGAGUUAACUAAACUCUGUACGUAAAAAAAAUCAUAGUCGUGGCACCGAUGGGUAAGUUCAUUAGUGUCAGGAUGUUGUCGAUACCAGAAUCAGUUUACAAAGUCUUUGCACGUCAUGAUGAACAUCGGAAGUGUGAAACAGUCCCCCUCCACUGAUUUCGAGGUCAAACGUUAAAGUGAUCUGAUAGACCUAAAGUAAAUCACAAAUUUUAAUUUAUGAAAGAACAGGUUAGUACGAUCAUGACUACUUAUAGCUCAACUAACUUUUAAAAUCAACUAAGGACUAGCUGGUUGGUAGGACCUUGCACAUACUCCAACGGGAGUACCGGUGCCCCCUGUAAAGUGAACUGAAACGGACGUAGGUUCCAAGGUCGGAAAUACACACCAGUUUCCUUCCACCUAUGACUUCUUGGACGUCCUUCCACACCCAAGAGUACAAGCAAUCGUGUCUACAACCGUAUAAAUACUAGUUCGAGUUAGGAACUGUCGAAUUCUUCCAAAUGCUCGGACCCAAGAUGAACUCGCAGGAUGGGAUGUAUUCGGACAUGCGAGGUCCAUGCUAUGACUGGGAACGAACAGACAAGAGUACGUAAAAAGAAAUGUUGAAGACUUACAACAGUUACGUUAAAACACAUACGAUCACUUUUGACUUAUUCAUAAUUCACUGUACCUUUUUGUCUUACAUUGAAACAAUAGUAUAACAUGAACAAUUCCCGGUACUGCACGUAGCCAGUAUAACGAUUCACACGUGUGCUUGUACUACUAGAACAAAAUCGGACAUUGGAACCCUCAAUAAUGAUCGUGUAUGGAAUUGGUUCACCUUACGACUCAAGUUGAUAACCAAUAAUCAAAACUCGUAGCAUAGAAAAGUCUAGAACCGUGUAACAAUAACAACACCGGUUGACUAGAGAACUCAGCAAAUUAAAGGCAACUUGCCAAAGGCAUGUUUAACACGUUCAGUAAUAUUAGUACACAAGUCACGUUUAAGAUUAAAAUCAAGUUACGUUAAAGAUUAAAAUGAAAUCAAGUUAAGAAUAAAAUCAAGUCUAGUCAAAGAAUAAAAUCGAGUCAAGUCACGAUCGAUAAACCACGAUUAGACAGAGUUAAGUUGAUCAAUUUUGCAGAGUAAUAUGGAUCUAUACGAUUAGUCAAACUGACAAAGUCAAGUUGGCCAAUUUAGCAGAUCCAAGUUUAUAUAAAUAACACGGUUUUUGUUUAUAAUCAAUUAGGAAGAAGGUGAAGGAGGUGUUCUUUCACUCGAGAUUUUCAAAAACACAAAGGGGAACGCAUUUUUGAGUACCUUGUUUAAGAUGUCUGGACCGAUCACACUUGAAGCUUUAUCUUUCGUAACAUGUAGUCCUUUUCGACAGCGUUGGAGGGGUGUCGCGGCGGAGGAAGGUCGCGCGGCCAGGACGCAGGGGUGUGCGGAGGAAGGUCGCGCGGCCAGGACGCAGGGGUGUGCGGAGGAAGGUCGCGCGGCCAGGACGCAGGGGUGUACGCGGCGGCGGAGUAAGGUCGCGUGGCGGCGGCGGCUGGUUUUUUACCACCGCGGUGCCGCCGGAGUGGGGUGCCAGAGGAGGUAGCAACGUACACGCGGUAGGAGUCAGGUUGGGGUACCGCAGCCCCACUAGCACAAACAGCGCUCGUCAUCAAGCCUGAACCCGUACCAACACGGAGUCGUCAAGUCUCGAGCCUACCCGCCGUCGUCGUAGGAGGGUUCUAGCAGUGGCCACCUGUUCGGUAAGUUUGUCCUCGGUCGUCAAGUGGACGCGCCGGGCUACAGUCGACUAAGCUUCUCUGGUCCAGAGAAAGAGAGAGAGAGGAGACGAUUAAGUAGAGGGUACGGGAAACAAAUGGAGGGAGAGUAAGAUGGUCGGCUCUAGUCACUAUUCGUGUAUUCUACAAACACAAAUACGGACUUUUUAUCACAAAAAAGAAUACUAAAAAUGUACCGAAUAACGACUCAUCAAGUUGAUACGGUUUCGACUAGCAAGCUCACAGAUAUAUCCGCAUCAAGUUUCGACUACCGAGAACACACACGUCCUCAUCAAAUUCUCCUGUCUUCGACUACCAAGUAGUACAUUUUUUGUUUUUUUCUCCUCCUUGAACUCGAGACGACCAUAAACAAAAGCGAGCACCGGAUGAGGACGAAGCAAGUUAGAUUACAACGAAGACACGUUUGUUUAAGACUUGAACUCGACGGACGACACCGCACGCUCACACUACAAGACUUGACUUACUUGUGGACGUAAGACAUGUUUUGUUUCUCCUCCUUGAACGCGACCACCACGUAGGAUAUGUUUUAUUCUCCUUAUUGAACUCGACGACAACCAUGAAUAAACGUGAGCACCGAACGACGACGAAGUAAGUUAGAGUACGAUUAAGAAACGUGUUUAAUUACGAGACAUCCACACAAUACUGGCCG
rnacentral:rRNA from 1 species